UCGUCUGCAGGCACUCUGAUGCAGCGAUGCCGCGUGAGUGAAGAAGGCCUUUGGGUUGUAAAGCUCUUUUGUAGGGGAAGAUAAUGACUGUACCCUAAGAAUAAGGUCCGGCUAACUUCGUGCCAGCAGCCGCGGUAAUA
rnacentral:rRNA from 1 species